AACACUUCUUAGCGGUGGAUCACUCGGCUCGUGCGU
rnacentral:rRNA from 1 species